rnacentral:sRNA from 1 species
CAGAGAGGGUGAGAGACCUUGGAUUG